AGUGAACGCUGGCGGUAGGCCUAACACAUGCAAGUCGAACGGCAGCACAGUAAGAGCUUGCUCUUACGGGUGGCGAGUGGCGGACGGGUGAGGAAUACAUCGGACUCUACUUUUUCGUGGGGGUUAACGUAGGGAAACUUACUCUAAUAUCGCAUAUGAUGUACGGGUGAAAGCAGUGGAUCUUUGGACCUUGCGCGAUUGGAUGCGCCGAUGUCGGGUUAGCUAGUUGGGGGGGUAAAGGCCCACCAAGGCGACGAUCCGUAGCAGGUCUGAGAGGAGGGUCAGCCGCACUGGAACGGAGACACGGUCCAGAGUCCUACGGGAGGCAGCAGUGGGGAAUAUGGGACAAUGGGCGCAAGCCUGAGCCAGCCAGGCCGCGUGGGUGAAGAAGGCCUUCGGGUUGUAAAGCCCUUUUGUUGGGAAAGAAAAGCAGUAGGUUAAUACCCCGCUGUUCUGACGGUACCCAAAGAAUAAGCACCGGCUAACUUCGUG
rnacentral:rRNA from 1 species